CAUUGCGCAUUACAUCCCCUUCAUCAGAUUUGUUUGGUUCGUCUCUUUUUAUCUUUUCCAGGAAAUUACUGAGAUAAAGGAAACUGAAAACAUGACUGACGAUAGAAGAGUUCACCCAGAUUGUAGGAAUGCUUCGAACCCUUAUCAUGAAUGCAGCGAAUAUUGCUUCAAGUUAAUAGCGGAAAUAAAGAAGCAAAUGAGCAAAGCUGAAACAGGUGUAUUGCAAGCUAAUACUGUUGAUGUUCAUCCCUCCUCUGUUGUGAGUUCCGAUGGGGGUGAAGGUGCACCUGAUGAAAGGGAUGUUGUUGGAAGUCACAGUGAUGCAGAUGAUCAAGCUGAUGGAGAGGAUAAUAUGGGACAAGAUGCCGCGAAUCUCACAGGGAGGAAGAAGAAGUUAUUUGAAUUGAGGUUAAAAAUGAAUGAGGCAAGAAAAGCUAAUCAAUCUGCAAUGGUAGCAGAGAAGAAAAAAACAGAAGCUCCACCAGAGUCUAGGGGAAUGUCCAAGCAAAAAUGGAUUGAGGAGAGGAAGAAGAAAAUUGGAAAGUUGUUGGAUGCCAAUGGGUUAGAUAUGAGCAAGGCAUAUAUGCUAGAUACACAAGAGUCUGCAGAGGUUAAGUACAAGAAGUGGGAGAAGGUGUUGAACGAGUAUUUGUCGAUGCUGCCCAUGCCAUUGGCAGUGUUCCUGUCGAUGUUAAAGAAAUUGGAGCUGAUUUUUAUGUAAGCAACUUGCACAAGUGGUUUUUCUGUCCUCCAUCGGUUGCCUUUUUGUAUUGUCGGAAAUCACCUGUAUCACCUGAUCUACACCAUCCUGUGGUGUCGCAUGAAUAUGGUAAUGGACUAGCCAUUGAAAGUGCAUGGAUAGGGACGAGAGACUACAGCUCUCAGCUAGUUAUACCUGAGGUGUUAGAAUUUAUAAAUAGGUUUGAGGGUGGGAUUGAGGGAAUUAGGUUGAGGAAUCAUAAGGCUGUGAUUGAAAUGGGACAAAUGUUGGCCAAUGCUUGGGGAACAUCGCUUGGCUGCCCCCCUGACAUGUCUCCAGGUAUGGCAAUGGUUGGUUUGCCUGUUAACCUUAAGAUUCUCAGCGAUAAGGAUGCUUUAAAUUUGAGAAAUCAUUUGCGUGACCAUUUUGCGGUGGAAGUCCCAAUUCACUACGAGGAAAUAAAGGAAUUACAGGAUGGUGAUGGCUACGUGACAGGAUAUGCUCGGAUUUCUCAUCAGGUUUACAAUAAGGUUGAUGACUAUAUAAAGUUGAAGGAUGCAAUUCUUCAGCUUGUGCGAGACGGAGUAACUUGUAAGAUGCUUCACUCAGAAUAAGAGGAAUUCCUCCGAAUAGUUUAUUGAUAGGUUGUUUGACUAGUUUGUAUGGAGUUCUGUACUCUGGAAAAACAAGCUGUAGAAGUUUUCUGGUUAUCAAGAAUAAUCCUUGUAGAAGCAGCAUUGUAA
rnacentral:misc_RNA from 1 species